UGGGGAAUAUUGGACAAUGGGCGAAAGCCUGAUCCAGCCAUGCCGCGUGUGUGAAGAAGGUCUUCGGAUUGUAAAGCACUUUAAGUUGGGAGGAAGGGCAGUAAGCGAAUACCUUGCUGUUUUGACGUUACCGACAGAAUAAGCACCGGCUAACUCUGUGCCAGCAGCCGCGGUAAUACAGAGGGUGCAAGCGUUAAUCGGAAUUACUGGGCGUAAAGCGCGCGUAGGUGGUUCGUUAAGUUGAAUGUGAAAGCCCCGGGCUCAACCUGGGAACUGCAUCCAAAACUGGCGAGCUAGAGUAGGGCAGAGGGUGGUGGAAUUUCCUGUGUGGCGGUGAAGUGCGUAGAUAUAGGAAGGAACACCAGUGGCGAAGGCGACCACCUGGGCUCAUACUGACACUGAGGUGCGAAAGCGUGGGGAGCAAACAGG
rnacentral:rRNA from 1 species